AACGUAGGGGGCGAGCGUUAUCCGGAAUCACUGGGCGUAAAGGGCGUCUAGGCGGCCUCGUAAGUCCCGCGUGAAAGCUCCCGGCUCAACUGGGAGAGGGCGCGGGAAACUGGGAGGCUAGAGACUCGGAGGGGGGUGUGGAAUUCCCGGUGGAGUGGUGAAAUGCGUUGAGAUCGGGAGGAACACCCGUGGCGAAGGCGGCACCCUGGCCGAGGUCUGACGCUGAAGCGCGAGAGCGUGGGGAGCAAACGGG
rnacentral:rRNA from 1 species